AUGCCUCGGAAAGGUAGGAGAUCCCGGGCUCAAAAAGUUCGUUGGACAAAGUUAGACCUGACGGGACAGACGAGCGUCUGUAAAGGUGUUGCUCAGGUUUCUGAUGGACUGCAGUACGAAGAUGGUGACAACACAUCUAGAAUUCUAUCCGUGCAGGCGUCUCAUUGCCAGAGUGAUGCAAGGUAUGAUGUUUUCUCACGAAAUCAUCAGUGCACAUGUAUAGCUCUGACAUUCCUUGCAUACCACAGUGAGGGAACUUUGUUCGAACAGCCUGAUCUUGACAGAGUGCUAGAGGAAGGUGAUGCUUUGUAUGUCGGCAUUAAAAUGCAGCUUAUUGCUGAAGGAAGAUUCCGACAGGAUCUUCUAAGCAUGGCUGAAGUACCUGUGAGCAUCACAACUUCUAACCACACCUACAGCGUCCAAAAGUCAGAAGUGGUGAUGGGAUAUCUGAGAGACAGAGGAACUACUGAAAUGGACGCGUGGUGGAUUCCUCUUGAUGAAAGACUUCAGUGUCUUUCGACAGAUGUCAGCCAUGCACUACUUAUUGUUUCUCCAGAGUGCUUUGCUGUGUUCAGAGACAGUUCUGGAAGAUAUGGAUUUUUUGAUUCUCAUUCCAGAACUGCUGAAGGUUUGCCACAUCCUACUGGUGAUGGAACGGCAGUUAUGCUAACUUUCACUAACCUGCAUGACAUGACCAACAGAUUACUUGAGCUUUUUUGGAAUCGUGGUUCUCAGACUUGUUAUGAAUUCAUGGCUGUUUCAUUUGAAAUGGAGGAACAGUCAGGGAGAACAUCUUCAGCUUGUGAGUCACUCUCACAAGUUACUUCAUCUCUGCCCAAACCGCAAAGAAAUGGUGUAAAAAUCCCUGAAAAUCUUUUUUUUGCAGAAGACAAAAACCAGGGUGUCUUGAAUGUCAUCAAAACAAACAAGCCGCGAAGAAGAAAAGAAGUGCGUAAAAUGGCAAAACAGUGUGCAGGACCUGAGGACAAAACUUCACAUUUUGAAAAUCGAGAACGGAAAAGAAGGGAAUAUGAGAAAGAGAAGUAUGCCACCAGUUUGCAGUUUCGAAUUAAGAAAAGGCAUGUCUCCAAGAAGUUUAAUCAAGAUCCUUUUGUCAGAAACAAAAAGAGGGAGUACCUUGUCAGGAGGUACCACACUGAUGCUGUUUUUCAGAAGAAAAUGAAGGAAUACAUGAUCAAGAGGUACCACACUGAUGCUGUUUUUCAGAAGAAAAAGAAGGACUACUUGGUCAUGAGGUACCAUACUGAUGCUCUUUUCCAGAGGAAAAAGAAGGACUACAUGGUCAGGAGAUACCACACUGAUGUUCUUUUCCAUAAGAAAAAGAAGGACUACAUCGUCAGGAGGUACAAUACUGAUGAUGCUUUCCAGAGGAACAUGAAGAACUACAUGGUCAGGAGGUACAAGAUGGAUGAUCUUUUCCAGAAGAAAAUGAAGGACUACAUGGCCAGAAGAUAUGCAAGUGAUUCAAAGUUUAGGUCACAUCACAUUCUACUUUGUACUCUCCAGAAGAAACAGAAGUGUCUUACUGAUCCUGGAUUCCACAUU
ensembl:lncRNA